GAUGAAGAACGUAGCGAAAUGCGAUACUUGGUGUGAAUUGCAGAAUCCCGUGAACCAUCGAGUCUUUGAACGCAAGUUGCGCCCGAAGCCAUUAGGCCGAGGGCACGCCUGCCUGGGUGUCACACACCGUUACCCUCGCGCCAACGUCCAUCGUUGGCCGCGGCGCGGGGCGUGUGCUGACCUCCCGCGAGCGGGGUCUCGUGGUUGGUUGAAAAUCGAGUUCGCGGUCGAGGGUGCCGUGAUGAAAUGGUGGAUGGGCGACGCCCGAGGCCAAUCACGCGCGACUCUGUCCGGCUCGNACUCCUGGACCCCUUCGGCGUCUCCGGACGCUCUUUGGCGAGACCUCAGGUCAGGCGGGGCUACCCGCUGAGUUUAAGCAUAUCAAUAAGCGGAGGA
rnacentral:misc_RNA from 1 species